AAGACAUCGGGUUCAUUCAGACUGUAUUGUCAGAAAAGGAGCCAAGGUUUGAGGGGUGGAAACCUUGUCAUUUUCACCUUUAAAUCAUCUCCUGGCGUCACCUCUGCCUGACGAGACCUUUGAAGUGAUGGCACCCCAAUCCAGUUGCAUCUGAUUGGAGCAGAGGUGAACACCUAACUCAAAGAAAGAUCAACCAUGGGCUGGCCACUGACCUGGGAAAUAAAGGGAAAAGGUUUUGAAUAGCAUGAGGAAGAAAAUGGAAAAACAAGAGAGAAUGGAAAAG